GGCGUAUUGGUGGGCAUUGGCUCACGGGUGGCAACGCGUGGCGGGUAGCUUUUGGGGCGGAACAUCUGAGGGGACUGGGCCUAAUAGGGGAUAGCCGCUGUCGGGGAAAGAUGUAUCGCCCAAAGAGGGGCCCGCGUCUGAUUAGCUAGUUGGUGAGGUAAUGGCUCACCGAGGCGACGAUCAGUAUCUGGUCUGAGAGGAUGAUCGGCCGCGUUGGGACUGAGACACGGCCCAAACUCC
rnacentral:rRNA from 1 species